CCUACGGGCGGCUGCAGUGAGGAAUAUUGGUCAAUGGCCGGAAGGCUGAACCAGCCAAGCCGCGUGAAGGACGAAGGUGCCAAGCAUUGUAAACUUCUUUUGUCAAGGGACAAAAUCAGGCUCGAGAGCCUGACCGCGGGUACUUGAAGAACAAGCAUCGGCUAACUCCGUGCCAGCAGCCGCGGUAAUACGGAGGAUGCGAGCGUUAUCCGGAUUUAUUGGGUUUAACGGGUGCGUAGGCGGACGGUUAAGUCAGCGGUAAAAGCCCGGGGCUCAACCCCGGCGAGCCGUUGAAACUGGCUGUCUUGAGAUGUCGAGAGGUAUGCGGAAUGCGCAGUGUAGCGGUGAAAUGCUUAGAUAUUGCGCAGAACUCCGAUUGCGAAGGCAGCAUACCGGCGGCGAUCUGACGCUGAGGCACGAAAGCGUGGGUAUCGAACAGGAUUAGAGACCCGUGUAGUC
rnacentral:rRNA from 1 species